UACGUAGGGUGCAAGCGUUAAUCGGAAUUACUGGGCGUAAAGCGUGCGCAGGCGGUUUUGUAAGUCUGACGUGAAAUCCCCGGGCUUAACCUGGGAAUUGCGUUGGAGACUGCAAGGCUAGAAUCUGGCAGAGGGGGGUAGAAUUCCACGUGUAGCAGUGAAAUGCGUAGAGAUGUGGAGGAACACCGAUGGCGAAGGCAGCCCCCUGGGUCAAGAUUGACGCUCAUGCACGAAAGGCGUGGGAGCAAACAGG
rnacentral:rRNA from 1 species